AUUGAACGCUGGCGGCAGGCCUAACACAUGCAAGUCGCGCGAGCGGCGGGCGGGUUGGUAAGGUAUGGGGCUCUGACUGAUGGAGGGGGAUAACUACUGGAAACGGUAGCUAAUAACGCAUACUAUAGGAUGAACCCAUAUGGGAUGAGCUAGUAGGUACGGUAACGGCUCACCUAGACGACGAUCCCUAGCUGGUCUGUGAGGAUGAACCGCCACACUGGGACUGAGACACGGCCCAGACUCCUACGGGAGGCAGCAGUGGGGAAUAUUGCACAAUGGGCGCAAGCCUGAUGCAGCCAUGCCGCGUGUAUGAAGAAGGUCUUCGGAUUGUAAAGCACUUUAAGUUGGGAGGCGUUACCAACAGAAUAAGCACCGGCUAACUUCGUGCCAGCAGCCGCGGUAAUAC
rnacentral:rRNA from 1 species